GGUAAAAUGGCUGAGUAAGGCAUUAGACUGUAAAUCUAAAGACAGAGGGAUAGUCCUCUUUUUACC
rnacentral:tRNA from 1 species